AGUGAACGCUGGCGGUAGGCCUAACACAUGCAGGUCGAACGGCAGCACAGUAAGAGCUUGCUCUUACGGGUGGCGAGUGGCGGACGGGUGAGGAAUACAUCGGAAUCUACUUUUUCGUGGGGGAUCACGUAGGGAAACUUACGCUAAUACCGCAUACGACCUACGGGUGAAAGCAGGGGAUCUUCGGGCCUUGCGCGAUUGAAUGAGCCGAUGUCGGAUUAGCUAGUUGGCGGGGUAAAGGCCCACCAAGGCGACGAUCCGUAGCUGGUCUGAGAGGAUGGUCAGCCACACUGGAACUUAGACACGGUCCAGACUCCUACGGGAGGCAGCAGUGGGGAAUAUUGGACAAAGGGCGCAAGCCUUAUCCAGCCAUCCCGCGUGGGUGAAGAAGGCCUUCGGGUUGUAAAGCCCUUUUGUUGGUAAAGAAAAGCAGCAGGUUAAUACCCCGCUGUUCUGACGGUACCCAAUGAAUAAGCACCGGCUAACUUCGUG
rnacentral:rRNA from 1 species